CAGAGAUAGUGGGAGUCGAACCCACACAGCGCUAUUAACACCGGACGCCUUAGCAGGGCGUUGACAUACCGUUAGUCCAUAUCUCU
rnacentral:tRNA from 1 species